CAGCCUACGGGAGGCAGCAGUGAGGAAUAUUGGUCAAUGGGCGCGAGCCUGAACCAGCCAAGUAGCGUGAAGGAUGACUGCCCUACGGGUUGUAAACUUCUUUUAUAAAGGAAUAUAGUGAGGCACGUGUGCCUUUUUGUAUGUACUUCAUGAAUAAGGAUCGGGUAACUCCGUGCCAGCAGCCGCGGUAAUACGGAGGAUCCGAGCGUUAUCCGGAUUUAUUGGGUUUAAAGGGAGAGUAGAUGUGUUGUUAAGUCAGUUGUGAAAGUUUGCGGCUCAACCGUA
rnacentral:rRNA from 1 species